GUUCCCUAUUUUGUGAUUCAAUUCUAAAAGGCACUCUGCCCAGCUCCCCUUCCUUCUCUGGCAGAGAUGGGGACGUUCCUGGAACUGAGCCCCUGGGAAGCAGGUACUGGUGCUGGGUCACAGGGCCAGUGGGAAAGAGGGUACAGCGGCAGGGCGGGCCAUCCUGGGGACCUGGGAGGGACCAGAGGCAGGGUGGGGAGGGGCUCUUGUCUUGAACCCAGGAGUGUCUGUGUGAUGAGGAAGGGGGGAUGAGGUUAGAAAGGAGGUGACAGAUAAUCCUUCCACUUUCACUUCCCCAGAGCAAUGCAGUGUCCUGGGGCUGCCUAGCAAAUCUGAGGAGGAAGCUUAGAAGUAAAGGGGGGAGGAUGGCCCACAGGCAGAGACUAGGCAGCCGCCUACCCCUUUCUUCUUCCCCUUAGACUUAGUGAUUUCUGAAAUUUCACCUAGACAGUUGUAUUCCACUGGAUUUAAACAAGACAGAUCAAACUAUUGAAUUUAGAUUCACGGGGUAAAUAUGACAGUGGACAAAUUCCUAAUCUAAGUCUCAGUUUAUCCAUCUGUAGAAUGGAACAAUAAUGUCUGUUUUUGUAAGGUUCUUAUGAGGACUAAGCGAGAGCACACAUGAAAGCUUCUAGGGCACUUCUUCAUAAAAUUAGCUUAAUUAAUUAAAUGCAUGAAUAAUUAGAAUUAUUACAUUAUGUAUUAUAAUUAAUCAAUUCAGAUUUGUACCCAUUGGGAUGGCAAUGCCUCUAUUAAUAGUGACUGGUCCAAAGUGAGGAGCAAUUCUGAGUGAUUGACUGGCUGGCCAAGGGCGGGAAGAGCAGGGGCACUAGUUCCUUGAAGGAGUGGGAACAUCCCGGGAGGCAUGGUGCUGAUGGGGGAGCCUGGUGGAGAAUGGUCUUCAAGGGCCUCCCACCCACUGUCUGCUGUCUUCCUCCUUCCCUCGUUUCCUUGGGGUCUAGGCUCUUUUGUGUCCUCCUGGGAUCAAAGGGUGGUGAUCAGGACUGAGAAGUCAGAGGUAGGUGCCACUCAGGAUUGGGUCUUUGGAGUUCCAGGAAGGUUUUCUACUCUGGACUUCUCAUAUGUGAUCCGAGUUGGAGAGGGACAAAGCCUGACUGAAACAAGCUGAAGACAACCGGGAUGCUGUUUCUCUCCUGUGGGUCUUGAGGUCUCUAGAGCCUGCAGUGGCCACUUCUUGUUGGAAGGAAGAGCUCUGAAUGAUUUUGAGGCAGGAGGUGUGCAGUUGAGUGUCUUCAUAUGAGUAAUAUGAAAGCAGUGGGAGUGCUAAGAAGCACACGAGGAUGGGGGGAAGGAAGGCCCAGGACACUCCAACAUUUAGAGGACAGGGAGAAAAGGAGGACUCAUCUGAGGAGGCUGAGGAAGUGUGGCCUAUGAAAUAAAUCGAGAACCAAGUGGGAGUGCCAAAAGCCAUGUGAAAAGUGUCUCAAGAAGGAAUGAUUUGCUCUGUCACAUGAUGCUGAUAGAGCAGUGAAGAGGAAGACUGAGAAUUUGACUACUCGGUUUUAAAAAUGUAAAGGCCAUUGAUCUCCUUGACAAGAGCAAGUUUGGAGAGGUGCUGAUCAGAGUACUUUCAGGAGAGAAGGGGCGGAGGACGAGAGGAAUAGGAGACCACUGGGGACAGCUUUUCGAGGACUGGCCCAUCAUGUGCCAGGCUUUGUGCCAGGAAAUAAAAAUAGAUGGUGAACCAGAAGGGCUGUCUGCCUUUGAGGAGCCCGCAGUCCAGUAGAAGAGAGACAUGUUUAGAACUAAGCUGCAUGAGAAGUGGUAGGAUAAAGAUACCUACAGGGAGUUCUGUGAGGACAGAGGGAGGGGCCAGCUCCCUCUGAGAAGACAGUUGGAACUUCUGCUGCUGGAAAAUCAGGUUCCCAGGUGGGGAGAGGGAGGAAGGGUAUUAGCUCCAGAGUUUUCAAAAGCAAAGAACUUUUUUCAUUCUUUUUAUCAUCAUCUCUAGCUACCAAAGAGGCUGGCCCACAGCAGUUGCUCAGUUUGCAUUUGCUGAAUGAUUUUGUGAAUUCCAGUGGAAGGCGUUAACAAAAAACAGAGCUGCAAAAGAAACCAUCGCAACAAUUUUGACAGUAGCAGCAAGGAUGGAGAAGAGAGAUGGUUUCGUUUAGAAAGCGUUGAUUGGUUUGGAAGGAAAGAGGGUGUUGCAGACAAUCCCAACACUCACACUUUAGCCGAUGAGGUUUGUUGAGCGCAGGCACCUUGUGUUGAUGGCUUUGUAUUCUCCAUGCCUAGGAAAGUGCCUGACGCUUGACUGCUUGAGUGACGGAAUGUUAUUGCCUGGGAGGAAGGCUACAGGAUAAGCAGUGAUUUGGGAGUGUUGGGGGUGGGAUGAGAGUGAGAUUGGAGAAGACACUGGGAGAGCUGCCAUUAGACAUUGGAGGGGAAAGGAUGGGUAGGUAGAUAGAUCGAUUGAUCUGGACCAGACAUGUGGAUUUACAAGUUACCAGUUUGUGGGCGAUAGCCAAAUGUAUGGAUUCAUAGGAACUUUGCCAAAGAGAAUGUCUAGAGGGAGGAGACAACUGAGCUGGAAUGCCGGGAAGUGACACACUAAAGGAGCAGGUGGAGGAGGAAGCACAGUAACGGAGACUGCAGAGGAGCCGGCAGGGGGAUGGGAAUGGAAUGAGAGUCGAUGGUUUUGUCAUCAUGUAGGGCGAAAGUCUUGACGAGGAAGGAGAAUCAAUAGCAUCAAGAGUCUUCGGGGAAGCCCAGCAGGGUAUGGAAUGAACACAGGCUAUGUCUGGCCAUUAGGAGGGCACCGGAAAUUUUACUGAGUGGAUUGGAUGGAAAGAGGCCGGCUGAUGAAACCAGACUGGGAUGGGCUGAGAGGCUGAGAGGUUGAUAAGUGAAGAAGUAGAGGCUGUGAGGAUGGAAACAGACAUGUUCUUUCAUGAAUAUACUGAUGAAGAGAAGGAAGGCGAGCAGUGGUCAUUUGAAGCUGGGGCAGGAAGUUAUUGUCUAAUAAAUUGGCAGACUUAGACUCACUUGGGCUGUUUUGAUUGAAAACAGAAAAAUUUAAGAUAUAAAAGCGAUGGAGUGAAGUCCUGGAAGAGGUGCGAAAGGAUGGAACCCACAGGCUGAAAAGGCAACAUCUUAGAGGAAAGCACAGUGUCCUUUUCUUCCUCUGAGAGAAAACAGACAGACAGAGGAGGAAGGACCAGAAAGGUGGGGACUGGGGAUGAGAGAGUCAUCAUGAUGUCCUCCACUUAGGGAGAGAAGGGAAAGAGGAGCAAGGUCAUCUGCUGAGACAGAGAAGGGAAGGAAGUGGUGGUGAGUGCCAGGAGAAUGGGGAAGAUUUGGAACCAAGGUUUUACAGAGAGUGGGAACAUAACCUUCUAUGAUAUGGAAUGUUGUGUUCCUGGGAGCUCUGGUGACCAGAUGAAGGUGUGGAGAGGGUACUGGGAGUCAACCGAGCCAAGAUGGAGGAGAGAGGAGGGUUGGGAAGUGGGUUUACUGGUGAGAGUGGCAUCACAAUGACUGACUGUGGAGCCUGGGAGGGAUAGAGCAUGAGCGCAGGAUGAGGCUGAGAGGCUGUGAUGGUGAGAAAAAUUAUAGGACUUGCUACCCAAAGGGUUGUAAGAAGGAGCUAGAUUCCAGGUCACCUGCAAACAGAGCAUCUGCCUCUGGACCUCAGGAAUGGAGUUCCCAUUUGACAGCUCUGGAAUUUCCACAUACAUCCCCACAUUGUGCUUGGGAUAUGGUUCCCUAUCGGGGUCCAGGAGGCCCCUUGAGCCUGAAUUUCAGCUGCUCUGAAACACAUCUGCCUCCCCCUUUGAGGUGCCCCUCAAGGGAUUUUUACAAAUGCCAUGUGGUCUAUGUUUUAAGCAAGAUUAUUUCAAUCAUUUCCUUCCAUAUCUAUUCAGCUCCUUUCACAGACCUAUAGGAACCAAAUUCUAUGCUGCUGCUGACAUUCUCUAAUUGUUUCUCAUUAUAUUGCAUGUUGUCAUUUCAUUUUCAUAACUCGAGUGUAAGUUUAUUGAAAGCAAGAACCAUAUCCUAUGUUUUCUUGUCCAUAUUACCCAUUCCACAUGGCCUGUUGCUGGCACGCAAUGAAUGUUAGUGUGAGGCUGAAUUCUUCAUGGAGGAGAUCUCUACUAGUAUUUAAACUAAAGAAAUGCCACAGUUAUCAUUAAUCAUGGAAAGCACUUGCUUAAAGAUGAAAUAAUUCUUUAAGUAAUUCAGCAAAACACACUAUCUACCUACCUUGUGCCAGGCCUCAUGCUGACUACUGGGAAUGAAAAGAGAGCAUCCACAUACUCCCAGCAUUGGGGAACCUAGUCACACAGAGGGUAUGGGUACAUACAAAUAAUUACCAUACAGUGUCAAAAGGGAUUGGGAUAUUUGAGAAGGAAUACAGGUACACAAAGUAGGGACAGAAUGUCUCAGGCUGGGGUCAAGGAAAGCUUGGCAGACGUGAUAUUUGAGUCAGGCCGAGGAAGACAAAUAGAAUUCCAGCAGACAAAGAAGAAGA